UUAAGUUCAGCGCGUAUUCCUACCUGAUCCGAGGUCAACCAUUGAAAAAUUUCCCGGUAAAGGGAGAAGACCGGGUCCCGGGUGCCCUUAUCCAAUACGUGCUCAAUUAAAAGCUCAGUGUACCGGGGGAACCACAGGCCGCCGUCAUUGUCUUUAGGAGGAGUCGCGGUGACGCGACCAAGCCGUCCAACACCAAGCAC
rnacentral:misc_RNA from 1 species